rnacentral:sRNA from 1 species
ACACGAGGAAGGAGGUGGUCUGCAGUUGAAUGACAUAUGGACACGUGAGGUGACCAUCAGCUAGGUGGUGUGCUGCCCGGGUUUGCCCAGCGGCGCCGCUGCUCAGCGAAUCCACGGUGGUCACCCGGCCCCCGCAUCCCUGUCACGUCCUGACAGGCCAGGCUCUCAUCGAGCGGUGCGGGGGUCGUUCCAU